rnacentral:rRNA from 1 species
GGUGAGGUAACACCGUGGGCAACCUGCCCUGCAGACUGGGAUAACUUCGGGAAACCGGAGCUAAUACCGGAUAACACCGAAAACCGNAUGGUUUUCGGUUGAAAGGCGGCUUUUAGCUGUCACUGCAGGAUGGGCCCGCGGCGCAUUAGCUAGUUGGUGAGGUAACGGCUCACCAAGGCGACGAUGCGUAGCCGACCUGAGAGGGUGACCGGCCACACUGGGACUGAGACACGGCCCAGACUCCUACGGGAGGCAGCAGUAGGGAAUCUUCCGCAAUGGACGAAAGUCUGACGGAGCAACGCCGCGUGAGCGAAGAAGGUCUUCGGAUCGUAAAGCUCUGUUGUCAGGGAAGAACAAGUACCGUUCGAACAGGGCGGUACCUUGACGGUACCUGACGAGGAAGCCACGGCUAACUACGUGCCAGCAGCCGCGGUNAUACGUAGGUGGCAAGCGUUGUCCGGAAUUAUUGGGCGUAAAGCGCGCGCAGGCGGUUCCUUAAGUCUGAUGUGAAAUCUCGCGGCUCAACCGCGAGCGGCCAUUGGAAACUGGGGAACUUGAGUGCAGGAGAGGGGAGCGGAAUUCCACGUGUAGCGGUGAAAUGCGUAGAGAUGUGGAGGAACACCAGUGGCGAAAGGCGGCUNUCUGGCCUGUAACUGACGCUGANCGCGAAAGCGUGGGGAGCGAACAGGAUUAGAUACCCUGNNGUCCACGCC